UGGUGCGGUCCGCCUCUGG
rnacentral:misc_RNA from 1 species